GUUAGAUAUUCAUCUGUCCACAGUUAGACAAACUGUCUAUAAAUGGAGAUGAUUUAGUACUAUAGGUACUCUCUCUAGAAGUGGCCGUUAGAUAUUCAUCUGUCCACAGUUAGACAAACUGUCUAUAAAUGGAGAUGAUUUAGUACUAUAGGUACUCUCUCUAGAAGUGGCCGUUAGAUAUUCAUCUGUUCACAGUUAGACAAACUGUCUAUAAAUGGAGAUGAUUUAGUACUAUAGGUACUCUCUCUAGAAGUGGCCGUUAGAUAUUCAUCUGUUCACAGUUAGACAAACUGUCUAUAAAUGGAGAUGAUUUAGUACUAUAGGUACUCUCUAGAAGUGGCCGUUAGAUAUUCAUCUGUCCACAGUGAGACAAACUGUCUAUAAACGGAGGUGAUUUAGUACUAUAGGUACUCUCACUAGAAGUGGCCGUUAGAUAUUCAUCUCUCCACAGUGACACAAACUGUCUAUAAAUGGAGAUGAUUUAGUAUUAUACGUACUCUCUCUAGAAGUGGCCGUUAGAUAUUCAUCUGUCCACAGUUAGACAAACUGUCUAUAAAUGGAGAUGAUUUAGUACUAUAGGUACUCUCUCUAGAAGUGGCCGUUAGAUAUUCAUCUGUCCACAGUGAGACAAACUGUCUAUAAAUGGAGAUGAUUUAGUACUAUAGGUACUCUCUCUAGAAGUGGCCGUUAGAUAUUCAUCUGUUCACAGUUAGACAAACUGUCUAUAAAUGGAGAUGAUUUAGUACUAUAGGUACUCUCUCUAGAAGUGGCCGUUAGAUAUUCAUCUGUUCACAGUUAGACAAACUGUCUAUAAAUGGAGAUGAUUUAGUACUAUAGGUACUCUCUAGAAGUGGCCGUUAGAUAUUCAUCUGUCCACAGUGAGACAAACUGUCUAUAAACGGAGGUGAUUUAGUACUAUAGGUACUCUCACUAGAAGUGGCCGUUAGAUAUUCAUCUCUCCACAGUGACACAAACUGUCUAUAAAUGGAGAUGAUUUAGUAUUAUACGUACUCUCUCUAGAAGUGGCCGUUAGAUAUUCAUCUGUCCACAGUGAGACAAACUGUCUAUAAAUGGAGAUGAUUUAGUACUAUAGGUACUCUCUCUAGAAGUGGCCGUUAGAUAUUCAUCUGUUCACAGUUAGACAAACUGUCUAUAAAUGGAGAUGAUUUAGUACUAUAGGUACUCUCUCUAGAAGUGGCCGUUAGAUAUUCAUCUGUUCACAGUUAGACAAACUGUCUAUAAAUGGAGAUGAUUUAGUACUAUAGGUACUCUCUAGAAGUGGCCGUUAGAUAUUCAUCUGUCCACAGUGAGACAAACUGUCUAUAAACGGAGGUGAUUUAGUACUAUAGGUACUCUCACUAGAAGUGGCCGUUAGAUAUUCAUCUCUCCACAGUGACACAAACUGUCUAUAAAUGGAGAUGAUUUAGUAUUAUACGUACUCUCUCUAGAAGUGGCCGUUAGAUAUUCAUCUGUCCACAGUGAGACAAACUGUCUAUAAAUGGAGAUGAUUUAGUACUAUAGGUACUCUCUCUAGAAGUGGCCGUUAGAUAUUCAUCUGUUCACAGUUAGACAAACUGUC